rnacentral:rRNA from 1 species
UACGUAGGCAGCAAGCGUUGUUCGGAGUUACUGGGCGUAAAGAGUGCGUAGGCGGUCCUGUAAGUUUGGUGUGAAAUCUCCCGGCUCAACUGGGAGGGUGCGCCGAAGACUGCAGGGCUUGAUUAUGGGAGAGGUAAGCGGAAUUCCUGGUGUAGCGGUGAAAUGCGUAGAUAUCAGGAGGAACACCUGUGGUGUAGACAGCUUACUGGACCAUAACUGACGCUGAGGCACGAAAGCGUGGGUAGCAAACAGG